rnacentral:lncRNA from 1 species
CUCCUCGACCUAGGUCUGGCACAGGAACUCCUCCCUAGCUCUUGAAUAGUGACAUCUUGGAAGUUGUGUCUACCCUAGCUCGGCCAGAGCUGGUACUUGAUAUUUUAUCCCCAAAAUUGCCUAUUAGUUUGCAUGAGCUGGAUCAUUGCUAGCCGUGAUCAUUUGAGCUGGAUGCUAAUGUUUCUCAGUGGGAAGGAGCUCAGUUGACAGAGCUCGUCAUUGCCUGCAAGCUGUCUCUACACUGUACCCAGUUGUCAUUUUCGUGUUCAAUGCUACUUGUCGGUCUUCAGUUAGCUAAUAGCUCGGUUGUGGCAUGGAUGCCGAAACAUUCCACCUACCCCUAAGGGUUGUUUAUCUUGGAUGCGCGGUGAGCGACUUGCCACGUGUUCGUUUAUGAUUGGUUUGUGAAAAAAAUUUGGCUUGCUAAACGAUGUGCCUUUAGGGCAUGUUUGGAAGGCUUUUUCCAUCUCUUGGAUUUCUAUAAAUAGCCUUCUCCUUUAUAAGACACGGUUCAUUCCAAAAUCCUGAGAGUUUCUGGAAAGAGGAAGUGUGACUGACUGAUAACCGUUCCGUUCGCCGUUUUCAACAUUGAUUCCAUUUCUGACACCAUUUCUGACAUCUUUUCUAUCUUUCGACCUCUGUUUUUGUUGCCUAAUCAUUUAUGUAAGUCUUUGAUCUGGUUUUUCUGCAAAAAAAAAUCUAUAAUGUAUGCACUUUCAUACUGGCCCUUUAUGGUUCUAUUUUGACCCAUCUGGGUUUGCAUUUGAUGCUUUGGGGGUUUUAAUUUUGUAAUGUCUUGUCACCACAUUUUGUUGGAGUCUGUCUGUUUUUGAUUUCUGGUUUGGCCUAUCUGCCAUUUAUGAGUUUUCAAGUUUUUUGUGAUUUGAUUUGCCCGACUUGUUUCCCCUGAUGAAAUUGGUCCAAGUUGCCACUGUAGUUUUUGAUGACUUGUUGAAAAACUUUGAAAAGAUCCACAUUAUAGGGUUAAGGUUUUGCCCCCUCAAGCCCUUCUUCUGCCGCGAUAGGGUCAAGUGGUAGGAGGGCUUGAAAAGUCCCUUAGUGAAAUGUAGAUGUACCUCGUGUGUAAAGUUCAUAGCUCGUAGGGAGCACGGCUAACUCUUUCCAAAUAUUGAACCUCGGGGGCCAGAGCUCGGGCUCGCGGAGAGCUCUGCUAACUCUGCGCCCAAUUGCCUGUCAUUACUUAGUUGAGCUCGUUCUUACUGUGUUGUUUAUGUUUUCAGAACAUUGAUUUGAACCGAGCUCAAUUAUUAGUGCAUGACGAUACUGCAAUGGAAAAGUUUAGGAGAUACCAUGAUAUUCCAAAUGAUGUUUUGAUAGAGAGGCCAGGGCCCAGGGAGGUAGCUAUCACCGUAGAGUGAAACAGAAACCUCAUCCCAGUCUGCAUUUGGUUGAUUCACCAAGUGGGCCUCAGAUUCUCCAUUAGUCCUUUACUGAUGGAAGCUAUGACUUGGUGCUGGCUCACCUUCAUGUAAAUGUCCAUCAACUUCGUUUGGACCGUGCUUGCUGUGAACGCGUUGAUGCAGAGGGAAGGGAUGCCAUUCAAUGCCUCGGAUCUGCUACACGUAUAUAGCAUAGUGCGCCUGAGAAGAGACUCCAAACACACAUGUACACCGGCAACCACUAUCUCCGACUCCGGAAACCCCAUUAGCCCCAAACGAGGCUAGUAACCGAGACCUAGACAAAGAUAUGUAUUUGAACGAAUUUAUUUGGGUCUCGGAAAAUUGGGAGUUCUGAGCUGGAGAUGAUGGCCUUUGGUCCCUUUUUCAGUAUAAUAGAUAUAUUCCAGUGCGGCCAAGUUUGUAGGUUAUUACUUGUUGACCUUCGUACCUCAAGUUAUGUAGUUGACAGAAAUUGUACAAAGUUAAUAAUGUUGAUCUGACACUUUUCAUCUCGGUUGACUUGUUUCAGGAUUCAGUAGCAGGUUUUGGAAGAGGUUCGAUUAAUGCAACGCGGCAAUAGAGGAAGCGAACAAUUGUGUCCGAGCUCGGGACAUGCAGACCCUUCUCCAUUACGUGCCAAUCUAUCGCCACGUUAUCCCCCAUCGAGUUGAAAGACUUAGACAAGUCAGACUCCCUCCUUUGCGUAUUCAAGAACGGGUUGCUCGACGUCGUACAACCAGCUUGGAGGAGUUAAGCGAAGUACUUAGCAAGAGCGCUAGGAUAAUCCAAGUUCUUGCCUUAAACGACCAGGCUUCGACCUCGUUUGGCUCUCUAGCAGCUCGGGGGAAGUUGACGUUGGUGAGGAAGUAAACCAAGGCGAAGAUCCAUAUCCCGAGAUUGCUGCCCCUGCUCCAGUUCCUGCUGCUUCCCCCAUACUGGUGGAGAGUUCUAGUUCAGAAGUUGCGUGGCGCAUUGAUUUCCUUGGUCAGACUGCAAAUUAGGAUUAAUUGAGCAUUGCUUCGUGAGGUGUGGUCGUGGAAAGAGGGUUCAGAGGAAGGAAGUAGUAUACCAUGCUCCAAAGCCCAAAGACAUUAGUCCCAAAAAGGACAAGGCUGCUGCUCCAAAAUAAGUCCAGAUUCCCCCUCUAGUCUAGGAUCUAGUCCCAGCUCUCCUCGCUCCAUUUGCUCUUUUUGUCCUUCCUUUAGACCCGAGCUUGCCAUCCUCCCCUUUACUUAGGCAACACAAAGGGAAGGCGCUCAAUGUUGGGACUUCGAAGAAGUGAAAGCGAGGGGGGAAGGGAGGCUCGGAUGGUACCUUGUUGCCAUCCGAAGCUCCCGAAUUCUGGUCCCCGAAAUUUGUCGCUGCUGAGCUCGGGCGGAAGGUGACAACGACCGACAUAGCACACGAUCAUGACACUUGCAUGGCCUUAGUGCAGGCUAUCAUGCUUCCUCAGUAUGUGGCGGACCUAUCUGCGGAGGAUGAGAAAAUUGCUGCCGAUCUCCUUGUCAUGCAGCAUGUGUAGGUAAGCAGCUGAGUUGCCAUUCAUUCGUUUAUUUUUUGUAUCUCUUUAAGUUUUUAUUGCAUGUUUGCAUAGCCUUCAAAGGGUUAUGGCCAAUCGAGACCGCAUCUACAAACACUCGUCCGAGCUCAAAAAGGCCCUCAAAAGAAAGCCAACACUACGGAGAGCGAGUUGAAGAAGGUGAAGGCUGUUAUGGCUAACGUGAAGAAACGUGAAGCCAUUGACGAUUUGGCUUCAAAGUCUUUGAUCGAGGUUGAUGCUGCGAAGGCAAAAAUGAAUGUGACUCUACAGGAACUCGCCAAGCUCCAAAAGGUGGCUUCAACCCCGGUUUACCAACGAGUGUUUGAUCAAGGCUUCAACUGGACUGGAGAUUAUUACACAAGGUUGCGCCCAAAGAUCUAUCAAGGGGCUAGCUCGCCAGUCUGAAGGAGCUCAGUACUUCUACGGAGCAUCCUGCUUGGAAUGCAGCAGCACCCGAGGUGGAAGUCACAUACCCUCCUAAGCCAUACUCACCCAUCCUGCUGCUGGAUUUUAAUGAAGAUGAGUAUGCCAACCAGCCCGCAAAGGAUGGAACUAACGGGGAGGCGUAAGGGACUCCGAGGAAGCAAAUAAGCUCGGGGACAAAGUAGGGACGAACAGAGCUGGAGGUGAAGAUCAGGACAUCCCUCCCGAAGUGUAAUGUAUUUUUCUUCUUGGAGGGGGAUGGUCCUUUAAAGAGUUUUGAUAAUACAGUUUGCAAAUGUUUGUCUUUUGAACAGUCCUUUGUAAAUAUAUUUUGGAUGUAUGAAACAUUAAUUUUCUUUUCCUCAACUCGCUUUUUACCUUAAAUUCCGCCUUAGCUUAUUUCUACCUAUGUUUGAAUGCUUUAAGACUUAGGAGCUCGGUGCCAAGAUAGUUUGCCAAUGCCUUAGCGAAUGUCUGCUUCUCUACAUUGCUUUAUGCCUUGAUAGUCCUGAGCUCGGUGGUCAAGUAUCUCGGAGACCAAGUCGUAUCAUGCCUUAGCGAAUAUUUAGUUGUUUGCAUGCUUAUAGCAUUGAUGUGGUUGUUCUCCUGACUUGUCUCAGCACAAUUGAACAAACUCAUGCCUUAGUGAAAAUCUGUUGUUCUGCAUGUCUUUUGCUCUGAAUGCUUCUAAGCUCGGUACUCAGGUAGCUCGUCACUAAGUUAUGUGCAUGCCUUAGCGAAAUUUUGUUGUUCUGCAUGCAAUAGCGUAGGUGAUGCUUUUUUUUAGAAUUGUAUACUUUAGGACAUUUCAAGCUCGUGCUUAAGCGAGUUCAGAGGAAUAGCCUCACGCUUCAACAUAGGGACACCUCAAGCUCAUGCAUUGUGUAGGUUGGCGAUUAGUCACACUGUUGUAUGAAAUCUCAAGCUCAUGCUUGAGCAGCUUGGGGACAACUAGUCUCGCGCUAUUUUAAGACAUCUCAAGCUCAUGCUUAAGCAGGUCGGCAAUUAGUCAUGCUGCUUCAAGAUCUCAAGCUCAUGCUUGAGCAACUUGGUGACUUUAAGGCUUUGUAAUUCUCUGUUUUAUGCCAUUUUUCCUCGUGGAAUACACAUUUCCACCUCUGAUUACGUUUUCCAGGAUCUCCUCCCAUGGGUGGUGGCUUUCGAUAAUAUGGCUUAUCUCGGAUCCAGGUGAGCAGUUUAUGAAUAUGUUCUUUGAAAACCACGUUAACGCCCUGCCUCACCCGAUCUUCAUAGUUCGUCGUACUUUUCCAACGCUUUUUGAACUGACCAUCACCCCGGGACGAAGAUCCCGUAGCUCAUUCAGCUUGCCUGACAUACUCUUCCAGCCGAGCAAACAUCUCAACCCGCACCAUUAGGUCUAGAAGAUGGCCUGGAGGGUUGAGCGUUAGGUUUUCCUACAGCUUCUUGCCCGGGGUCAGCCUGAGCAUUUGCUAUAGUUGCAGUCCUUGCGGAGCGUUUCAUUCUUGCCUUUGUGAAGCGUUAGAAGAGAGCUUGCAUUCGUUCGGUGCCUUCAUGUUGAUGAUGAACCGAGCCACGAAUGACUUAGAAACUUGGUAGAAGCUCCUGAUGGACCCUCCGGGUAGCUUGUCAAACCAUUUCAACCUGAGAUCACCCAGGCUUGAUGGAAAUAUUUUGCACAUGAAUGCAUCGUGAUGGUUCCAAAGUGCCAUCAUUUGCCUGAAAUGGCAGAUGUGCGACCUCGUAUUUGACUUCUCGUCAUACAAUGUAAAUUUAGGGGGGUUAAACUUCUCCGGGGGAUCUAUUCCCUUAGUCUCGGGUGAGAAAAGGGUUUGGUACCUCAGGAGUUGUUCUGCUAGCAUGGAUUUGGCAGUCAUGGUUAUUGAUUUUUUUGGGAUGAUGGUUUUUGCGGGAAACGCCACUAUGGCAAGCAGCUUCGCCCGUAAAUCCUCAUCGUAGGUUUGUUAUCACUUCGACUCUCUGCUUCAAUGUGGGAUUCUACAUGAUUUUCCUUCCUGCCACCCCGAGGUAGGCCCUCUCAUCUUUUGGACUUCACCUCAGAUGACCCCUCACCAGCCUUUUGGGCUGGCAAUACUAAAUUGUUAGCCACCGUGAUAUGUGUUAGUUCGGCCAACUAGGCUUCCAGACGCCUUAUAGUGAUGUCUCGGUUGUCAUUUUCACCUUCAGGAUGCAACCGACUUGGCCUUUGCCUAGAGGGGCCCUUUACCUUCCUUUGAGCAUCGGCCAGUAGUUUGUGCCCCUCACGCUCAGGCUUAUGAGCACCGGAGGGUGCUCCUUUUGGGUUCCAUGACUACUUCCUCCGCCGGUGGUACUUUCAUAGGCAAAUGAUCGUAUCGUGCAGAUGUCUAUGGUCGACUUCCCACAGAUGGUGUCAAUUGUGGGGUUGUGAGUAUUAGAAUGGAGGAGAGGAUAUUGUAGAUACACCUGCGGUGGUAAAGCGACUAUUAGCGGUGGCUGCUGGAGACUGCUAGUUGGUGGUCCGAACUGUAACACAGGAAUAGUGAGAACGGCCAUCGGAGCUAUUUCAGGAACAGUCUUCCGACGGUCAAAUUAGAUGACCGAUGGAUACAAAGUGUAUGUAGUGAGAGAGAGAGAAUGUAGAAGCUUAGAGUAGCUAAAAUUGCAUAAUUUUGAGAGAAUAAGGGUUGGCCUUAUACAAUACAGUUCAGCGCUUGCUUGGACUCGCUGAUUGUUGUGUCGUGAAUAGGCGACUGACCCAGUCAUGCCUCUAGGGCAUGGCUGGUGUCUAGCCUGUCACGUUGCCAGCGUCAGAACCCGAAUGUGCAGGUGUCAGAGGAAGCUUUGCGGUGAAGUUAUCUUCUGAUCGCGUCAUGUUCUUGGAAUUCCUGCCGACCAUUUCUCCUUGACCGAGCUCUGGCGCAGGGACUUCGCCCGAGCUUGCUAAAUAGCGAAAGCUUGGUAGCGGUGCCUGCCCUAACUUGCCAGAGUUGGUACUUGAUGUUUUAUCCACUUACACAACUGUUUGCUCAUAAUCAUAGUGUUCACCAAGUUAACAGUUCAAUUGCCAACAGUACAACUAAAUAAUAUUCCUAAUGUACGAGACAAUAAAAAUUUCAAACAUAAUUGUAGAAAAAAAGUGACCAAAAUAUCAUACAAAAUCAUACACAAGAUCCUAGUUUAUCGUUGUCACAAGAAUUGUCCAUCAUCCAAAUUGAGCAUAUAACGCCCAUAGUUUUAACAACCCACCCCUACCUAUAGAGAACCACAACUUUGACUGAACAACCUAAACCUAACAUAGAGACGACAUCCAACUUUGACCUGAUAACACUAACAAACAAAGACCCAACUAAAACAAAGAGACUUUCGACCCCAUCAUUCAACACCACAAGCGAAGACGAGUUUAUUUUCAUUUUGAGAAUGAUGACAUAGAAAACCCAUGUAUCAUUUCCCACAAAAUUGGCGUCAUCAAUGUCCAUAACUAAUACAAGUGACAAAGCGCAAUUAGAACUUGGAGGGAUGACUCAUUAGACAUAGGUGAUAUCUUGAUUUAUAUUGUUUCAGAUGAUUAGCAAGUGAAGGAUCACUUCCUAGAUCAUCCCAUAACCUCUUAAGAGAGUGGUGAAAGAAAAAAAGUUGCCAUCCGGGAUGAAAGCUUCUAUUGACCAUAAAGAAAGACAAACCUCAUGAGAGUCCCAGGCAUCACGUCAAGUAGGACAAUGUGAAUCCACAUCAACGACACAGUGUAAGUAACAUUGGAUCAUUUCAUUUCCCCCCCCCAAAACCAAAAAAACCCAACUAUAUAAAAGGAACUCAAUUUGACUCUUGUCUCUGUGGAAAUAGGACCUACGCCACUGGGGCGCCCCCUGGGGCACUCCACCCAAAUAACCUUGGAUCUCCAUCACACUCAUUUUUUUCUCAUAUAAGACAGUAAAAGGUCUUUUGUAUGUGUGAACGUUGAAACAUAAAUGCUCGCAUGAACAGGAGACAAGAGUCACUGCUAGCACAACCAAGCCAGGCAUGGUCUUGAUCUGGUUACCACGAAACAAGAAAAUAACGACCGAGGCUAAUACUCAAGGUCAGACAAUAUAACUUAAUACGAAAAUUCUCGCCCUGUUUCUGGCCUGUAAAUAGUUCUAAAUUUUUCCUUGUGCUGGGGCCUGUAUAUAUGCUUCUACA